UUCGGGUGUCAGCGGCAGACGGGUGAGUAACACGUGGGAACGUACCCUUCGGUUCGGAAUAACGCUGGGAAACUAGCGCUAAUACCGGAUACGCCCUUUUGGGGAAAGGUUUACUGCCGAAGGAUCGGCCCGCGUCUGAUUAGCUAGUUGGUGGGGUAAUGGCCUACCAAGGCGACGAUCAGUAGCUGGUCUGAGAGGGUGAUCAGCCACACUGGGACUGAGACACGGCCCAGACUCCUACGGGAGGCAGCAGUGGGGAAUAUUGGACAAUGGGCGCAAGCCUGAUCCAGCCAUGCCGCGUGAGUGAUGAAGGCCUUAGGGUU
rnacentral:rRNA from 1 species